rnacentral:rRNA from 1 species
ACGAACGCUGGCGGCGUGCCUAAUACAUGCAAGUCGAACGGUCUUUCUAUGGAAGCUUGCUUCCACUGAGAAGAUAGUGGCGAACGGGUGAGUAACACGUGGGUAACCUGCCCAUAAGAGGGGGAUAACAUCCGGAAACGGGUGCUAAUACCGCAUAGUUUUCUUGAUUGCAUGAUUGAGAAAGGAAAGACGGCCUUUGUGCUGUCGCUUAUGGAUGGACCCGCGGCGUAUUAGUUAGUUGGUGAGGUAACGGCUCACCAAGACGAUGAUACGUAGCCGACCUGAGAGGGUGAUCGGCCACAUUGGGACUGAGACACGGCCCAAACUCCUACGGGAGGCAGCAGUAGGGAAUCUUCCGCAAUGGACGAAAGUCUGACGGAGCAACGCCGCGUGAGUGAAGAAAGGUUUUCGGAUCGUAAAACUCUGUUGUCAGAGAAGAACAAGUUGGAGAGUAACUGCUCCAGCCUUGACGGUAUCUGACCAGAAAGCCACGGCUAACUACGUGCCAGCCGCGGC